AUCUUGGUUCAGGAUGAACGCUAGCGGCAGGCUUAACACAUGCAAGUCGAGGGGCAUCGGGAGUAGCAAUACUUGCCGGCGACCGGCGCAAGGGUGCGUAACGCGUGAGCAACAUGCCCGUAUCAGGGGGAUAAUCCAUGGAAACGUGGUCUAAUACCCCAUAGUAAUUAUGUAAGGCAUCUUAUAUAAUUUAAAGCUUUGGUGGAUACGGAUUGGCUCGCGUGACAUUAGCUAGAUGGUAAGGUAACGGCUUACCAUGGCUACGAUGUCUAGGGGUUCUGAGAGGAAGGUCCCCCACACUGGAACUGAGACACGGUCCAGACUCCUACGGGAGGCAGCAGUGAGGAAUAUUGGACAAUGGAUGGAAAUCUGAUCCAGCCAUGCCGCGUGCAGGAAGACGGCCCUAUGGGUUGUAAACUGCUUUUGUAUGGGAGCAAUAAGGGCUACGUGUAGUCCGAUGAGAGUACCAUACGAAUAAGCACCGGCUAACUCCGUGCCAGCCGCGGC
rnacentral:rRNA from 1 species